rnacentral:rRNA from 1 species
GAGUAACGCGUAUCCAACCUGCCCACCACUUGGGGAUAACCUUGCGAAAGUAAGACUAAUACCCAAUGACGUCUCUAGAAGGCAUCUGAAAGAGAUUAAAGAUUUAUCGGUGAUGGAUGGGGAUGCGUCUGAUUAGCUUGUUGGCGGGGUAACGGCCCACCAAGGCAACGAUCAGUAGGGGUUCUGAGAGGAAGGUCCCCCACAUUGGAACUGAGACACGGUCCAAACUCCUACGGGAGGCAGCAGUGAGGAAUAUUGGUCAAUGGACGAGAGUCUGAACCAGCCAAGUAGCGUGCAGGAAGACGGCCCUAUGGGUUGUAAACUGCUUUUAUAAGGGAAUAAAGUGAGUCUCGUGAGACUUUUUGCAUGUACCUUAUGAAUAAGGACCGGCUAAUUCCGUGCCAGCAGCCGCGGUAAUACGGAAGGUCCGGGCGUUAUCCGGAUUUAUUGGGUUUAAAGGGAGCGUAGGCCGGAGAUUAAGCGUGUUGUGAAAUGUAGACGCUCAACGUCUGCACUGCAGCGCGAACUGGUUUCCUUGAGUACGCACAAAGUGGGCGGAAUUCGUGGUGUAGCGGUGAAAUGCUUAGAUAUCACGAAGAACUCCGAUUGCGAAGGCAGCUCACUGGAGCGCAACUGACGCUGAAGCUCGAAAGUGCGGGUAUCGAACAGGAUUAGAUACCCUGGUAGUCCGCACGGUAAACGAUAGAUGCCCGCUGUUGGUCUGAAUAGGUCAGCGGCCA